GCUGACAGUGAGAGUUUGAGUUUCAGUCCCUAAAGCCAGGGGCAAGUUUUUCAAGAGACCCAUACUGCAAGGCCACAUUGUGGACUAUGUAACUUCAGCUAAUUUCUUGGAAAUCAAUCAAAGCAUAUGGACUAUAUUUUAAUUCUACAGACAUUGCGUUAGGCAGAACAGCUACCAACACCCAAUCCCUGAAAUUUGUGAUUAUGUUUUGAUACAUGGCAAAAGGAACUAUGCAGAUGUAAUUAAGGUUAAGAACUUUAAAAUAGGAAGAUUAAAUCCAAGGAGUUCUUCAAAGUAAAGAACUACUACAUGCAGAAGAUUGGGAAGAAAUAACAGAGAGUGCUUGAAGAAUAGAUGUGGCUAGGACAAUAUCUCUGAAUCUCUGAAUGGCCCAUGGUGGUGACCCCCAGCCAGAGUGAACUGUGCAGCAGCAAUGGUGCCCAGUGGGCAGCAACAGUGGAACAGAAGGUGAGGAAGGGGCCAGAAGGAAUCCUUUAGGAAAUUAAGAAAAGGAUAAAAAUAUGAUAAAAAUGUGGUGUCCAGGCGAGAAACGGAAUAACCUCAUCCCUGUUCUGACUAACAAUUUGGUAAUAUUUUGACAGUUUUGAACAAGAACUUCCUUCUCCUUUUCUUUUGGAGUACACCAUAGUGAAAGACCUAUGGUAAAAAACAAGGUACAACUGGAAUACUGCUUUUUGUUUUUCUAUUUUCAAUAGUAUCUCCUGUUUAUAAUGGAUUGUUUUAAUCUCAGGGAAGAACAUCUGAGGAGAUCACCGGGUCUCUAAAUACCAGUUCUUGUCUCUGCACACCUUUUUUAGGGGGGACUGAUGCCUGGUUAUAUCUGCGGUACACCAGUUCCUAAAGCAAUACCUAAGAAAGUCAAUGUUUCCUAGAUAAACUUGACUUUCAUCAAAUGAUAUUUAGAAUCAGUUUUAAACUUGUAGAGUAUUGCAAUCAAUUAUGAUCAUAUUUUGCAGCAUAUAUCAUGAAGUCCAAAUCAUUUUAGCUUAAAGAAAACAGACGUCUAUUAUUUUUUCACUUAGAGUAAGUCAGGAAGUGUGUAGUCUUAUGUGUUGGCUUUCCAGUGUCAUCAGGGGCCCAGAUUCCUGUCUUUCUGCUCUGCCAUCUCCAAUGUGUGGUUUCUAACCUCAUGAUCCAAAGUGGGUUCUUUUGCUCCAGCCCGCGUAUCAAUGUACCAGGCCAGUAGAAUGAAGAAACUAAGGAGAGCAAAAGGAGGCUCCUUCCUAACUGAGUCAACUUUCUUUAAGCAUUUGUCCUGAAGGUCUCACACAAUAUUUUUGCAUACGUCUCACAGGUCAAAACUUAGUUAUGUGUCCACACAAAAUUUCAGAAGAGGCUGGAAGGUGUUGUCUUUUAGCUGAAUGCAUUAUCAUCCUGGAAUUCAAAUCUGGGUUCUAAUAGUAAGCGAGAAAGAGAGCGUGGUUAUUAAGUGGUGUCAUUUGGCACAGCCUGUCAACAGAGGACAUGUUAAUUGGCAUUCAUACUGAUGUUUUAAUAAAGCAUGUAGUGUGCUUAUGAGGACCAAGAUUGACCAUACUUUGGUCAUCAUCAAUCAUGGACUGAAAGGCUUUUAAACAUGAGGUAUGUACCGCCUAGCAUUCAGUAACAACCCACUUAGUCAUUCCUACCUUAAUUUUAGGUGCAUGAUACCAAAAUGUUAACAUAUUUGAGAAACAGUCCAAGCUAAUUUAAUUUACGUAAGUACAUUUUUAGAUAAGACAAUGAUAAAUUUGAAAAUCAGUUUGGUUUAAUGAUUGGUUAGUUAAAAAUAUAUCAAAUAAAUAACUUUUUCUACCUUAGCAUUUUUAAAAUUCUGGACCUAAAAUUAUUACAUUCUAUUUAGGGCAAGGAUUAGCAAAAUACAGCUUACAGGCCAAGUUUGUCUUGACUUCCUUUUUUGUAAAUAAAGUUUUUUUGAAACACAGUUACUCUCAUAUGGUUACAUAUUGUCAGUGGCUGCUUUCACUCUAUAUCGGCAGAACCGAGUAAUUGUAUUAGAUACCCCCACCACUAAACCCAAUGUGUUUACUAUCUGGAUUCAUACAGACAAUGUUUGCUGACCCCUGGCAUAGGCAAAGCAAAAUACAUGACACAAUGAAUUUCCCUCAUACUUAGAAGUUAGGGCCCACAGAACUCACCUGAAAAGUUGCUUAAUAGUUACUUAAUUAUAUAGCAGAUUAAUCAGUUUUUAACUUGAUUCUGACGUUCCUAAAGAAUGGCAAAUUCCUUCCUAACACAAACUAAACCUUUACCUCCGUGGUUCUCAACUGGGGUCAAUUGUGUCUGCCAGAGACAUCUGGUAAUAUGUAGAGACCUUUUUAGUUGUCACAAGUUGGGGUUGGGAGGUGGCUGCCACUGGCAUUUGAUAGGCAGAGGCCAGGGGUGCUGCCAAACGUCCUACAAUGCACAGGACCGCCACUCAACACAAGGAACUAUCUGGCACAAAAGUCACUAGUGCUAAGACUGAGAAACUCCAUGGUAAGUGAGAACUCCCUAGGACCGAAUAGGUAGUUGUCAAUAACAAAAAGGAGGAAUUACUUUCCUUAAAGGUAAAAAUAAUUGUGGCAUUCGGUAAAAAUAAUUGUGGCAUUCUUUCUUGGUGGUGGAGGUUUUGCUGUACUCCUUCCUUGUUUUUAUUCUCCGAAUGAAAACACCAUUUUUAUCUGAAUUAGUAGCUCAAAGUUUUCCAUUAAUCACCUCAAACGGACUGACACAGUGUUUCACACACAAUGUCACGCAUGCUGUAUGCUAACUCCUGAGUUUUGUUCUGAGGGAGAAAAAUGAAUUCCAUGGCCAAAAGUACUAGAGGAAGAACACUCAUCAUAUCAUCAUCUGGGAGGUUCACUGUUUACCUCCAGGAUAUUAAUGGCACUCAGAAGACUGGUGGUGAAGAAACCUAGGAACUGUAGAAAUGUAAAACCUGAUGAGGCUGCUAUUUGUAGACUAGGUCCAGGGAAGAUGUACUAGGUCAGAGGAGAAGAUAUCAUGGCAGAAUCUUCUAAACAGUUUUUCAUGGAUGACUUAUUCAUACAUGGUCCUCAGACAUGGUCCUCAGAGUGAAAAAUAAAAGAAUUCCUAAGUAAAUGAAUUUGGAGAUUACUACCUUUUACAGAGUUUAACAAGUUCAAUUAUAGCAAAGGCUUUUAACCCUCUUUUUCUGUGUGUGAUAAAUCCCAUUGGCAGUCGCAGAUCUCUUCUCAAAUUAAUGUGAUCAAAUGCAUAAAGCAAAAUGUAUAGGGUAUCAAAUAAAUUGCAUUGAAGUGUAAUUAACAAAACAAAAAUAAACUGGUGAUAUAUGAAUGUAAGCAUCUCUUUAUUAUCACAUUAAAUAAUAAGAUCUAGCAGUAGGUCUACUAACUACCAUACUUUUAAAGUAGUAGUGAGUACAAAUAAUAUUUCAAGACAGCUGCAAUAACGGUGAUGUGAUAUGAAAACAUCUGUCAUUUUUGUUGGGGACAAAGUCACAAGUACUGCCAAUAUUACUACAGCUUGUUGUCUUCAUUCAAACGGAAGAAAAUGCUAAAUUUCAGUGAAGUGAAAACUAAGGUUUAAACCAUCGUAGAGCCUUUAAAAUGUUAUGUUACUUGUGAGUUUCCAGAAGUAAUGGUUGUGGGACUUGUUUGAACUUAUUUGAACAUAGAAACUUUAAUAUAUUUUGAAAAGAUAAUUUCACAUGCCAUGUGGGAAAUGUUGCCUUGAGCUAGUGCUGUACGCCUGAAAGCUUCUAAUGUAAUGAUGCAGUAUUGCAUUUAUAAUCAUUGUUUUAAGCUAGCGUUUUCAAAUCCAGUUCAGCUCCAUGAUAACAGCUGUUGUUUUCUUUACCGAUGUAUUUCACUUUCAGAUAUGAUUUUUUAAAAAUUUCUUUGAACUUCAUACUUUUCUUAGCAAAUAUCUCCAUUUAAAUUCUCAGAAUGAAAAUAAAAAUGAGUUGUCUCACACCUCUACACUUAGAAAAUCUAGGCUGCCUGUGGCCCUUUGCCCUAACACGUGACUCCUGUAUCAUGUAUGUAUAACUCCCUUCUAAUUAAGCAACCUCAUUCAUCAAGAAAGCCCUGCAGCGAUAAGGUAAUUUUUGCCACAGGAAUGUGACACUACCAUGUGCCAGUUGCUGAAAUAGUUGCACAGAUUUUAGUGAAAUGCAAGAGAUAAGUGAGUAAGAAAGUGAAAAUUGUCAGCCCAUAAAUUACUGCUGCCCUCAGUCUACAGUAAUUACAGCAAAGCUGUAGAUAACUGUCCCUCUGAUGAACUCUAGCAAAAUGGUCUUUUAAGUUUAUCAGCAUAUUCAGGUACAACUCUCUCAGGAGGCUUGGCCUCUUCUAAAUGAUCAAAUAUUCUGAGGGUGGGUGGCAGAAGGACAAAA